rnacentral:lncRNA from 1 species
GGAAAGGAGAGGUCAUAGAAGAAAAGCAAUACUUUUCAUCACUAUUAGGAUUGAUAUUAAGCCAACGAAGAGACUUGACCUACCAGAAAGAAUGUGAGUUGCAGCAAUAAACUAUACUAAAUAAUUUUAAAGUACAUUAUCAGUUCCAAAGUUGUUUCAUACCUAUUUGUCCUCAUUUAAUACAGCCUGGCUGUGAAAGAGAGCAGCGUGGUUAAGUGUCUGAGGUCCCAGAGCCAAUCAGUGGCAGUCAGUGAAUACUCCAUUGUCCUCCACUUGCUCAAAAGGAAAUCAAAGGAGUGAAAGUCAUCCUAGCAAUUAUCUAAUGUCCCUAUGAUGCCUACAACCAGAACUAGCUUAGGAGGAAGGGGCAUUAUCACAGUUCACCAAAAGUGUCAGGGCCAAAUUAGGAAAAUAUAUCUUUUUAAUGGAAUGUUCUGUUGGGUCAGAUCUGUAAUAAAGCAGAUAUUGUGCAAAUUUCUGGACACUAUCCAUAGGCAUUACAGGCAGCAACGAGAUAGUAGGAAACAAAGGAAUAAGACAAAUAUGAAUGGGCCAGGAGUUUCAAAACAAAACUCUUCAAGGGUAAGUAAAAGACAGACGUGAGGUCUAAACAGCAUGCACAGAGUGUGGAGAUUCAGCAAGAUUACAUAAUGAAGUCGAGAAAGUGUAAAGGCAAACACUAGCAGAGCCAAGUUGAAGAAAAAAGGACGAUUGCACCAGAGAUUAAGAUAAAUAAAAUAAUAAGGCAUUGUUCCAGUACAUAAGGAAGAAAAGGUCAAUGGAAAAAUAAACGUGGCCUCUGAGAGGCUACUGGGGUAAUUGACAGAAGAAACAGACAAAGCUCUUUUAGCAAAAAAAAAAAAAAAAAAAAAAGUAACUGGAGGCCUUGGUUGCCUCAAAGCUCCCCAAGGCUAGUAGGAAGGAGAAGAGGCAGGAGCUUGGGGUCAGCAACAAAACAGAUCCACAGGGGUUGGUUAGAAGGUAGGAGAGGAGCUAUGUACCAAGGUGACCAGAACAUGAAUUAUUGUGGAUGAAGAAACACCUCCACACCCCCACUUCACUGAGACCAUGCACAGGAUGUUAAGGCAAAAUGAAACAGAAACCUUUGGAAAUUAGAAGGGAGGGAGUUAAGUCGGAGCAGAAUUCCAGGAAAGAAGAGGCGGUACCCCUGAAUACAUUGACAGGGUGGAAUGGAAGGAGAGGCUAAGGGUAAAUGUGGGGAGAGAGAAAGAGGGAGAGAAGGAUGGAGAAUGAGAGAGGGAGGAAAGAAUUGAGAGAGAGAGAGAGAGAAAAGAGAGAAAGACAUGAAGGGAGGGGAAGAAAGAAGAAACAAUGAAAUUAAAAAAAAUUUAAAGACCAAAAUGUUAGUUAAGCCAUGAGGAAAUACAAAAUAGACAUGUAAAAAAAGGACUGGACUACCGAGCUGUCCAUUCCCUGAAUCCUGAACCAGUGACUUGGGGCUGAGAGGACACAAGCAUCUGAAUUCUAGCUCCAGCCCUGGCUCUGUAGCUCCAGUGGCUGUGUGACCCUAUACGGCAGUAGAAGGUGAGAAAAUUAAGUAACUUGUUCAAGUAGAAUUGAUGCCCAAGAAGAUGCCCAAGUAGGGUUGGUGCCUAGGCCCUAUGGUUGCGGCUCAAUUCGUGCAACCUCAGUUACCAGGGGGUCCCGGGGCCAGCGCGGAAUUCGCGGAAUUCACCAAGCCGCAGCUGCCUGCCGCUGAAUGCGAAGAGGGCGCAGGAGACUGGCAGGUACAGCUGGUGGUCCCUUCGGCCUGAUUUCCCUGCUGAGUGCCACAGCGUCCGAGAUCCACGACUGGCCAGGUGGAGCCACCGACUCUGAAGAGAACCAGAGGCGGACCAGCCAGGGGAGAGGGCAACCCUGGGAGCACUGCACCCUUGUCGGUCCCCUGGAAAGCUAGCGGUAAGAUCCGGGAGGCUGAAUUUGAGGCCGCGGUAGUCCAGGCGACUUCCCCUGGAAGGUGUGACGAUGACUUGUACUGCAAAAGAAGCCUAGACCAGGCCUCCGUCUGGGUGUUUUCUUUUAGGCGUUUGGAGAGGGAUGGAGAUGGUGGGUGGGGGCGAGGGGGAGGGGUAAAAAGAGGAAAUUAAAAUCCUGGAAAAGUUUAGACGCAACAGUAAAGACCAGAAGAUGGAGGGGGACAAAGUAAAACUUCCGGAUUUGGGGCCAGAGCCCCUGUGACCCAGGGAUCACUCACACCUCCUUGAGUCUCACUUUCCCCAUCUCACAGACCUGCUGAGGGGGAGUGGGGCUUGGGAUGAGCUGCCGCCAAACACUUCCGUUUCCUCAUCUUUUGCAAAGGGAAUGCAUUUGCACUAAUACCUACCAUCCAAGGGUUGAAAGAAUGAAAUGAUACAAUCCUUAUGAAGGGCUCGAAACGGGGCCUGGCACGUAUGAUAAGAGCUCAAUAAAUGUUAGUUGCUGCUACUUUGCUGUUAUUUUUUCGUUUAUACAAAGAGGAUAAUAAUUAUAUAUGUCCUGAAUGGCAGAAAAGGGGAG